rnacentral:tmRNA from 6 species
GGGGAUGUAUUGCUUUGACGUGAUACGUACUUUAACAUUUGCAGACCAUCUUUGACUAAGAAAGAUGUAAAACAGAGUCAAAAACAUAAUUGCAAAUAAAACUGCAAAAAGCAUUAUAUUGGAUACCGCAAAAGAAGUUGCUAACGCUGCUUCCAAUGCAUUCAAUUUUGCUCCUUCUUACGCUCUCGCAGCAUAAUUAGGCAUUCAAUUAAAUAAUUUCAUUGGCGUUUUUAAUUUGAAUGAUUCAACCUUAGUCAGUGUGACGGCAAAUACUCGUUUGUUGGUAUUUGUUUAAGUAAAAGUUGACAAAGAUUGUGAAAAAAAGGUUUGUUUAUUCCCCUCUUUCACAAUACAAAGAUAAACUAUGUCUGUAGAUAAUGUUAGCUUGCUAUUGCGGACACGAGGUCAUUCCUCGUCAUCUCCACCA